rnacentral:rRNA from 1 species
CAAUAGCGUAUAUUAAAGUUGUUGCAGUUAAAAAGCCCGUAGUUGGAUUUCUGGUCGGAAGCUCCUGUCCUCUGAUGAGCGUACAAGUGCGUCCUACCAUCCUUCUGUUAACCUUUAAGGCUUUCGCGGCUUUCUAGGGGCUCAGAUAUUUUACCUUGAGAAAAUUAGAGUGUUUCAGGCAGGCUAGCGCCGGAAUACAUUAGCAUGGAAUAAUGGAAUAGGACUUUUGCCUCUUCUGUUGGUCAUGAGGCUCGAGUAAUGAUUAAUAGGGAUAGUUGGGGGCAUUAGUACUUAACUGUCAGAGGUGAAAUUCUCGGAUUUGUUAAAGACUAACUUAUGCGAAAGCAUUUGCCAAGGAUGUUUUCAUUAA